ensembl:lncRNA
UCUUUACCUUAGUCUUUCAGCACUCCAUUCCCAUUUGAGAAAGGAGAUGAUAUGCUACGCACGGCAGCACCCAAGUUAAAUGCCUGGUAUGUAUUCUGGCAAAUAAGAUCCUGUGUCUAACCACAGCCACGACUGUUACACAGACAAAGCUAGCAAUUUUUGAAUGAUAGUCAUGGGUGUUAGAUGUCCAUCUAAGAAUAAGCCCAGUUGAAUCCUGCAAGAGCCUUUUUCUCUUUUCACUGGCACUAAGGGAAGUACAACACGAUGAGUUUGGGUGCAGACAUCGGGGCUGCAGGUGUCUGAAGGUAGGCCAGGUGAACCCUGCCUUCUGUGGUGCUCAGAUUCUGGACACUGAAUGAGGUGCAGACUGUGUAAGAGAGUUAGUCUGAUCAAGGUGUGUGUUAGGUGGCUUCGUAUUAGAUAGGCAUGAGGGAUGAAAUUAAGGUUGCACAAAAUGCCUUUGGCAUGGCAGUCUUAAUAGCAGUAUAAUAGUUAUUCUCUAGGAGUGAAAAGAUGUCAGACUGAGGCAGACACUUGAAAUGUUGCAUUUAAGUUCAAGGAGGGAAAGUCUGAAAACAGAGUCUUCUGGUAGGAAAAGAGGGCAAAUGAAUAAGUGGUUUUACCAGCUCUGCCUGAGAAACUGGCAGCCUCCCUAGGUUCAGUGGCAGGCAGGAAGCUUGUACAGCGGGUAGCCUGUACACCUGUGCCCACCUCAGCUCCACUCCUUUGUUCUUCAUUUCUCUGCAGUUCAUAACAAAUUGCAUUUUCAAAAGUUUGUAUAAAAAUAGCCCAGUCAUCAGAGCCUUUCACUGGAAGUCAGUGGGCUGCUUGUUAACAUCCAUGCUCCGUUAUUUGUUCGGUACUAUUUGUCCAUUGCCAUGUGGCACAAAAUUAUCAGCUAACAAAUGGCAACCCAUAUCAGUGUUUAACUCAUUAGGCUAAAAUGUUGGGCAAGAUUUUCUCUCUGAUUCUUCCUGAUAAAGCUGAACUGUACCCUUGUACACAGGGCAAUGACUUUGCAUGUCACUGUUACAGGCUUGCAAAAAAAGAAAUGGCAUUACCUAAGUAAAACUGCUUGUGCAAUACUGUCACCUAGAAAAUCUCAGGCACAACAGAGGGAUUGCAGGCUCUGGCAGGAGGUGGUUUCACCUCUCCAUUCAGUUUCUCAGAUGUAGUUCAGGUUAAAUUACAAGGUGCAUGUUGUGUGUCCUUCCAGUGUAAACAUCUUAGGGAAUGUUAUGUGAGCAACAAAAGAUCUCACAGGCUCACUAAGCAUUAGCUCCCACUGCCUUUCCUUCCUCACUUCCAGUCCUCCACGCUGCCCUGCAUGGCAGAAUUGGACAUCAGAGGUUCUGCUGUGGGCUCACCCUGGCUGUAUCACAGUGGAAACUCACAUUAAGCAAGGGAGAAUCUUGAGCUUCUUAUGAGCCACUAUGAAGCCACUGAACGGUGUAUGAGAAUUUGGUGAACUUCUGAGGCAGGGCAUUAACAUCUAAUAUAUUGGAAAUGGGCUUUGGAGACACAAAUUCUAAGGCUGACUUGAUUCAGUUUACUGCAGGAUGCCAGAAAACUGAUUAGGACCCAUAUCUCAAAAAAAGCCUACUAAUUUUGGAAACCUGAUUUUCAGAAGGAAGCAGUGGCUGUGGGCACAGUAGAUAUCCAGGCAUUGCAAUUGCACAUGCACUGCAAUUGCAAAUUUACUUGGGAAGGGAGAGGAGAAAUGGACCAUGAACUUUUUAGUAUUUCCACUGACAUUGAUCAGUUCAGCACAUAAUUAGGCAUAUUUGCAUGACUGCCGUUCCCUAUUCUCAGUUAAAUACAGGCACUGGGACUGCCUAGUGUAUUAGAAAGAUGUUUUGGAGAGACUCCUGUUUGUGUGGCUAUCCUGCCAGCUGCCCUAUAUCAAAAGUCAAUAGAGGUGGAAAUAAGUUGUGUUUAGCAAUGUCACCUGAAUUAACCCAGUGCAAAUCUGCACAGCAGAAAAACAUUCAGAGUCGUCCAUGGACCGGCUACUGCACACAGACAGCUGUUUUAGACCGAGCAUGUUAAGUUGUUGGUGCAGACCUUAGACACCAAGCAGAAACUCUGAUAAAGAAAUGUAAGAAAGAGAUAUCCUCUCUUAAAAUUUCAAGAUGAUAGAAUCUGCUGCAAUGGCCUUCAGUUGGCCGUCAGCGUAAACCAAUCUGGAACAAAAUCAGCCGAGUCACUGAAAUCUGAAAAGAGCAAUUUAUAGAGGGCAAAACGGUCAGGUUUCUUGCGUGGAUAAAAAGAGAUAAAAGGGGUUUGCUGCAGAUUUUAUGAAAACAUUCAAACAAUGUUGUCUCAUCAAACCUUACAGUUUUAACAGAAAGGGACAGAAAAGGAACUUAAGAAGCUGAAAACAGUGCUAUUUUUGUAAGAUUCUCUACUAGAAAUUGUGCAUUUAUCUUGACUGUAUUCUCCCAGCUGAUAUUUUUACUUAUUAUCUACGUAAUACUUAUUACUUACCGUUUCUUAGAGUAUUUUGUUGUAUGCUCUUGCACACAUGCACUCUGCCUUCUAAUGUAUUUGGGGAAGGAUACUCUAUUUCAUGUUUGUCAUCAGAUACAGUCAAAGUUGAAGAGGAAAUCAGUUCUGGCAACCUAGCUCUGUGACUGAGGCAGGUAGCUAAUCUAUAAUUUACAGUCUGAUCAUUUUUGCAUCAUAUUUUCUUAGUGCUUUCAUAUACAAAGUAAGGAUAAUGACUCACUACAGGAGGAGUAAUAAUGCAUGCUUCUAAAUUCUGUUGCAGAGGACACAGAAGAAGACAAUGAAGUGUAAGGGACAAUCUCUCUUUGCUUGGCAAUUUCCUUAUAAGUCUGUCACCCUUAAAUAGUGUAAACAGAGAUUUAGAAGAAAAAAUGAGAAGCAUUGCUUUUAUGUUAGGUAUUUGAGAACCAUGAAGAAAAAUCAUAUCCAAGGUAGAUUUUCCUUCUUGGUUUAGAAUUCAGUCCAUAAUAGCGGUGAAAGGAGCUAAGGUUCAAAGAACCGAAUCUCAAAUACUAGUUUGUUAUUCAUAAAAGUUAAACAGUAAGUGAUUUUAGUAUCUUAGCUUUCUGUCUGUUUUCAGAUACAGUUUCCAUGUGACUGCCAGCCAUGAGCUGUAGCUCAAGCAACUGAUUAUUAAUGAUUUUUGAGUUAUCAUGCACAGCUUUUAUGGAUUAUUUUAUUUUUAUCCUGAGUUUUAAGAUGCCCAGAAUGAUCAUUUUUUCCCUCUUUUAAGGAGUGGUGGAAAGGUCCUUGAGCUUAUUUGUGCUCAGAAUGGAUUUACAGGCAGGAGUUUAUUUGUAGUUUUUGGUUAGUCUCCAUUAAACAUUAUUCAUUUAAAAAAUGGAAGUCUAUAUUUUUAUACAUGCUGCUUUGAUAAGAAUAUUCCACUGUUUGAAGAGAAUAAGCUCCUGGGAAAUUACACCAUUGGUAGCUUUUCAUGAGUAGUAGCCUCAAGUGGUAGUCUCCCUUCUUGCAGGAGAAAGUAAAGUAUUUUUCACACCUGUCAAGUUACUCCUAGGUUCAGUGUGUAAUCAGUGAUUUGAGACUCUGUGUAGGUCAUACAGAAGUGUCAAACAGAGCCCAUGAAAUGAAAAUGCAUUUGUGCCUUCUUUUGAUUUAUAAUUCAAAUUGCCUUCAUUUUCCUCAUAUCUUCUCAAAAUCAUGUUCUUCCAUUUUUUGAAGCUAUUCUUAAACUUUGUUAUCCACGUCUUAGGUUUUCCGAAGACAAGUAUAUUGGCCUAUGCUGUAGUAAUCUUCCUUAAUUGAUUUGGGAUGUCUGCCAGUGUCUUAUUAUUCUGCGCUGAUAUCUUUAUAUGACUGGCUUUUAUCCAAGUGCUGUCAUCUUUCUCAUUUUCUUCAUCUCUUUUUGUGUUGAGACAAUAUUCUUAGCCUUUGAGUUGCUCCUUCAUCCCUCGUGUUCGCAGUGGAAAAGGUAUGAAGGGCAAGCCUGCCAAAUACUGAGAUCCUCAUGCUUGGCCUCUCUGGUACUUUCUCUAGCUCUUUUGAUUAAGGCAGUUGUUGCAUGGCAGUCAUCCACUUAAUAAUAUUAUAUCUAAAGGCUUAAUGCAUUUACUACCGAUUAGUAGUUUGGUGAACUUAUUUUUAGUCUUCAUUUCUUCUUGGUCUUUUACCUAGUUUUGCACUCUAUAUUUAAUACAUUAAGGAAGGGAAAGUAUCUGAAACACUGCCGUCAUCGUGUCCCCAUAAAGCUUUUGCAUCAAGAUUUUGGUUUCUGUAAAAUAUUCUAUAAAAAAGGUAAUUUAUAACAAGCCUUAAAGUAAUUGAAAUUCAUCUCGGUUUUGUACUGGGGAUUGUUUUGUUUCAAUAUUCAUUGCAAGGUUCGUAGUGUAUUUUACUUCUUUUAUAUUAAAGUUUAAAUGCUGUCCCAACUGAACAGACAGACAACUGAAAAAUUCCUAUUGUGGUUAUAUCUGAUUGCCUUUGUAUGGUCCCUGUCUUUCAUCACCUGCUGCAAGAUGGGUUCUGCUCUAAAAAGCAUGGAAUAAAACUAGUUGUUCUUCAGUAUCUUCCUAUAACAUAUCAACAGUAACUACAGGGGAAGGAAUAUAAGACUCAAUUGCAAUUACAUUCCAAGACAAUCUCAUAUAUAUAAUCAAUUUCCUCAAUGCAUAUUUUGUUAUCCUUUUAAUCCAAGUCCCAUCUGAACCAAAGAUAUAUAUAUAUUGCUCAUUUCAGUGGUAUAUCAAGCUGUUAGUCCUUGGAUUAGUAUGGCAACCAUAUCCAGCAAAGUGCAUUAACAUUCCCUUAGCCAAAAAUGUGUAGCUAAUUCAGUCUGUGGAACUAAUGGGAUUAGUAACAGGACCCUGUCUAAGGUUAGCAUUGAUAGAUGAAGUAUUUGCUGAAGAGAGGCCUCAAAAUUUUUGUUUCUGUGCAUUUAUUAUCUGAUCAGCCAGAUGCCCAUCAGCAGCUUAAUGAAGACCUUGUAGCUAUUCUCUCCUGUCUUCAAUCCGUGAAAUCAUCAGUGAUUCAUCUUCUAUGACUCUUAAGACCUAAUCUUUUUGCAUAUGGAGAAACUCUCAUGGAUGAACCCAGCUGGACCCCAGCUGUUCAUGUGAAAGGAAAAAGAUGGUUUAUUAUCUUCCUUUCAUAAUUAUGAUUAUGAUUUUGGUGACUAUGUUUUUAGGAUUGUAGGUACCGGAAAGCAUAUAUACGGAAGUUGGAGAACUGAUAAAUGCUAAGGACUGUUACCUGAUUUCUUUAGAGAAAAGGUGUAUGGAUUAGUUGGAUGAACCUGUCAGUGGAUAAGGAGUGGAUGGCCACAUUCAAAGAGCUGUGGUACACAGCCCGAUGUUCAGCUGGAGAACAAAGAAGACUGAUGUCCUUCAAGAGCUGUUACUGGGACAGAGUAAUUUCAUCACCUUAAUGAAAAGGAAGAUGACCUUUUAAAAUAAUUACAUCCAAUAACAACUCAAUUUUAGUGUGAUAAAUGCUCUUUGCUCCUUAAUUUGUAUUAUUUGAUUUGUAGCAAUGCAAUAGCAGGAUAACUAAAUUUCAGCUAAUCCCCAAUGAAUAUCAUUCAAAGAGUGAAAAAAAUAUAUUUUCAAAUACCUGGAACAAGAUGUCAGUGCACACAACUCUGUCCUCUACAGCAGUGGACAGAUCUUCUUCCUAACCCUAAGUAAUUAUGGGCACAGAAUUUAAAGAAAUCUAUAUGCAGACAUCCGUAUGCAAUCCUUUCCGCAUUAUCUGGGAAUUACUGUUUUCUUACCUUCUGGGAAGUGUCUGUGUGGAGACCCUUUAUUUUACCCGUUCAUUGCAGCCCAUUGCUGCUGUCUGUGCAGGUUACGCCCAAAUGAAGGCUUGCAAAGUCUUCCAUACACUAGUACUUAGCAGGCACUUCUACCAAAACAGCCUCAGGUGGAUGUUUUUCUACUAAAGUCAAAGUGUCAGAGGGCACACAAUGCUUUUCACUAAGAUAUCUUGUCUCUAGACAGCGCACAUCUGUUCUCUGAACAGUAUGUUCAUGAAUGAACUGGAGUAGAGAGUGAGCUCUGAGGUGAUUAAAGUCUUCUGAUGAUACAGUGUUAUUCAAAGCAAAAAAGACAGGAGCUUACCAUGAAAAACUACAUAGAGAUCUUACAAGACUGAGUGACGGGGCAAUAAAAUGAAAGAUAAAAUUCAGUGUAGAUAAAUGUCAAGUGAUACAUUUGAGAAGAAAGACUUUCAGCAUUCUGUGUAAAACAGUGGGCUCUGAGGUGACCAUAAAUGCUAUAGGAAUGAGACCUGAAGUAACAACACACAACUCAUGAUAUAAGUCCAUGGAAAAAAAUAGUGCUUAAUGCAUAGCAGUUGCCAAAAUAAGCAAACAAGCAGAGAAAAGACAACCAGCAGAUCAAAUCAUGGGGUUUAUUAGGGUUGUGAGUCUGUUUGAAGGCCUGUAACUAAUGGUGUUCCCCAGGGGAUGGUACUGGGUCCGGUCUUGUUCAACAUCUUCAUGCAAGAUCUGGAUGAUGGGAUAGAGUACAUCCUCAGCAAGUUUGCUGAAGAUAUAAAUCUGUGAGGAGUGAUUGAGGAAUGGUGAGGUCACAUCUGGGGCACAGUGUACAGUUCUGGGUCCUCAGUUCAAGAAAGACAGGGAACUACCAGAGAGAGUCCAGCAGAGGACCACAAAAAUGCUUAGAGGGCUGGAGCAUCUCCUGUAUGAGGCAAGGCCAAGAGACCUGGGACUACUCAGCCCAGGAGAAGAGAAGGCUGAGAGGUGGUCUUAUCAGUGCUUAUAAAUAUCUAAUGGGCAGGAGACAGUGGAUGUGAUUGGCCACUUCUCAGUGUUGCCUAGCAACAGGACGAGGGGAAACAGUCACAAAAUGGAACAUAGGAAGUUCCAUAUGAACGUGAGAAAAAAAUUAUUUACUUUGAAGGUGAGAGCACUGGAACAGGCUGCCCAGAGAGGCUGUGGAGUCUCCUUCUCUGAAGAUGUUCAAAACCUACCCGAGUGCUUUCCUGUGCUACCUACUUGUAGGGAACCUGCUUUAGCAGAGGUUUGGACCAGAGGUCCCUUCCAAACUAUCAUUCUGUGAUUCUGUGAAAUGAUUCAAGACAAAAACAGAAAGUAAAAUCUGUGUACAGUGUACAAAUUUAAGGGUGACCCUCAGGUUGAAUAUGCAGAGAAUGAAACUGAGAAUCACACUGAGAACUGUGGUGUGGAAAUAUCUCUGAGUAAAGCAAUACAGCCUCUAUUUCAAUUCCCUAGUAAAAUGAUGCUGAAGCAGUUAUCUUUUUGUAUAAAUAUAUUUAACAAAAUCCUAGAUUAAAUAUAUAUUACCAUAAAUACAGAGAUAUGUGGGGAUGCUCAAUGUUUUUAUUUGCCUAGCUUGUAUAUACACACACACAUACAAACACAUACAUGUGCAACCUCAGAUAACUUUUCAGGAGGACAAGCCUUUCUCCAGGAGAGAAACAGCAAACAGGACACUGAACUCUGACUAGUAACCACUGAUAUAGAUGAAAUUUCUGUACUUGUGAAAGAAACAGCAGACUGUGUGAAAGAAAAGGUUGGGUGUUACCUGCAGAGCAGAGAGGAACAGUGAUUGAGGAAGCCUGUCAAUGGCUGUGAACCAGUGUCAAUUGAGUCUGCAGCUCCAGUAGUUAUGAAUAUUACUUCCCAGGUUGCUAUUUUCUAUAUAUUUCAUAGAUCUCCUUCAAAGAUCAGUUCUCAGAUAUGAUUGCUGGAAAAGAAAUGGAGCUUCAAAAUCUCUUAUCAGGAGCCUGAUCAGAAUGUGAUACACCCUGAAGAGAACUUGUUUUAUACUACACCAUUCC